rnacentral:rRNA from 1 species
AGAGUUUGAUCCUGGCUCAGAGUGAACGCUGGCGGCGUGCCUAAUACAUGCAAGUCGAACGAUGAAGCUUCUAGCUUGCUAGAAUGCUGAUUAGUGGCGCACGGGUGAGUAACGCAUAGGUUAUGUGCCUCUUAGUUUGGGAUAGCCAUUGGAAACGAUGAUUAAUACCAGAUACUCCCUACGGGGGAAAGAUUUAUCGCUAAGAGAUCAGCCUAUGUCCUAUCAGCUUGUUGGUAAGGUAAUGGCUUACCAAGGCUAUGACGGGUAUCCGGCCUGAGAGGGUGAACGGACACACUGGAACUGAGACACGGUCCAGACUCCUACGGGAGGCAGCAGUAGGGAAUAUUGCUCAAUGGGGGAAACCCUGAAGCAGCAACGCCGCGUGGAGGAUGAAGGUUUUAGGAUUGUAAACUCCUUUUGUUAGAGAAGAUAAUGACGGUAUCUAACGAAUAAGCACCGGCUAACUCCGUGCCAGCAGCCGCGGUAAUACGGAGGGUGCAAGCGUUACUCGGAAUCACUGGGCGUAAAGAGCGUGUAGGCGGGAUAGUCAGUCAGGUGUGAAAUCCUAUGGCUUAACCAUAGAACUGCAUUUGAAACUACUAUUCUAGAGUGUGGGAGAGGUAGGUGGAAUUCUUGGUGUAGGGGUAAAAUCCGUAGAGAUCAAGAGGAAUACUCAUUGCGAAGGCGACCUGCUGGAACAUUACUGACGCUGAUUGCGCGAAAGCGUGGGGAGCAAACAGGAUUAGAUACCCUGGUAGUCCACGCCCUAAACGAUGGAUGCUAGUUGUUGGAGGGCUUAGUCUCUCCAGUAAUGCAGCUAACGCAUUAAGCAUCCCGCCUGGGGAGUACGGUCGCAAGAUUAAAACUCAAAGGAAUAGACGGGGACCCGCACAAGCGGUGGAGCAUGUGGUUUAAUUCGAAGAUACACGAAGAACCUUACCUAGGCUUGACAUUGAGAGAAUCCGCUAGAAAUAGUGGAGUGUCUAGCUUGCUAGACCUUGAAAACAGGUGCUGCACGGCUGUCGUCAGCUCGUGUCGUGAGAUGUUGGGUUAAGUCCCGCAACGAGCGCAACCCCCUUUCUUAGUUGCUAACAGGUCAUGCUGAGAACUCUAAGGAUACUGCCUCCGUAAGGAGGAGGAAGGUGGGGACGACGUCAAGUCAUCAUGGCCCUUACGCCUAGGGCUACACACGUGCUACAAUGGGGUGCACAAAGAGAAGCAAUACUGCGAAGUGGAGCCAAUCUUCAAAACGCCUCUCAGUUCGGAUUGUAGGCUGCAACUCGCCUGCAUGAAGCUGGAAUCGCUAGUAAUCGCAAAUCAGCCAUGUUGCGGUGAAUACGUUCCCGGGUCUUGUACUCACCGCCCGUCACACCAUGGGAGUUGUGUUUGCCUUAAGUCAGGAUGCUAAAUUGGCUACUGCCCACGGCACACACAGCGACUGGGGUGAAGUCGUAACAAGGUAACCGUAGGUGAACCUGCGGUUGGAUCACCU